rnacentral:rRNA from 1 species
AUUGAACGCUGGCGGCAGGCCUAACACAUGCAAGUCGAGCGGAUGAAGGGAGCUUGCUCCUGGAUUCAGCUGCGGACGGGUGAGUAAUGCCUAGGAAUCUGCCUUGUAGUGGGGGAUAACGUCCGUACACGGGCGCUAAUACCGCAUACGUCCUGAGGGAGAAAGUGGGGGAUCUUCGGACCUCACGCUCUCAGCUGAGCCUAGGUCGGAUUAGCUAGUUGGUGGGGUAAAGGCCUACCAAGGCGACGAUCCGUAACUGGUCUGAGAGGAUGAUCAGUCACACUGGAACUGAGACACGGUCCAGACUCCUACGGGAGGCAGCAGUGGGGAAUAUUGGACAAUGGGCGAAAGCCUGAUCCAGCCAUGCCGCGUGUGUGAAGAAGGUCUUCGGAUUGUAAAGCACUUUAAGUUGGGAGGAAGGGCAGUAAGUUAAUACCUUGCUGUUUUGACGUUACCAACAGAAUAAGCACCGGCUAACUUCGUG